GUGAGGAAUUUUCCGCAAUGGGCGAAAGCCUGACGGAGCAAUGCCGCGUGAAGGAUGAAGGCCUAUGGGUUGUAAACUUCUUUUCUCAGAAAAGAAUUAUGACGGUAUCUGAGGAAUAAGCAUCGGCUAACUCUGUGCCAGCAGCCGCGGUAAGACAGAGGAUGCAAGCGUUAUCCGGAAUGAUUGGGCGUAAAGCGUCUGUAGGUUGUUUAAAAAGUAUUCUGUCAAAGAUUAGGGCUUAACCCUAGAUAGGCAGAAUAAACUUUUAAGCUAGAGUUUGGUAGAGGCAGAGGGAAUUCCCGGUGGAGCAGUGAAAUGCGUAGAUAUCGGGAGGAACACCAAAGGCGAAGGCACUCUGCUGGGCCAAUACUAACACUGAGAGACGAAAGCGAGGGGAGCAAAUGGGAUUAGAUACCCUAGUAGUCC
rnacentral:rRNA from 1 species